rnacentral:rRNA from 1 species
CACGGAGGAUGCGAGCGUUAUCCGGAUUUAUUGGGUUUAAAGGGUGCGUAGGCGGGUUAUCAAGUCAGCGGUAAAAUCGUGGAGCUCAACUCCAUCCAGCCGUUGAAACUGAUGAUCUUGAGUGGGCGAGAAGUAUGCGGAAUGCGUGGUGUAGCGGUGAAAUGCAUAGAUAUCACGCAGAACUCCGAUUGCGAAGGCAGCAUACCGGCGCCCGACUGACGCUGAAGCACGAAAGCGUGGGUAUCGAACAGG